GGUAAAUGGGGGAUUUUGUUUUUUGUUGGCCCCUUUUUUCCCUUUUUUUAAUCUUUGCCUCUUGGCAUCCUCUAUAUAUGUUCUGUGGACUUCGCCAUGCCUUUCUUUUCUAGGUGCUACUAAUAUACUCUUUUACUUGCCUA